GACGUAGGGCGCGAGCGUUGUCCGGAUUUAUUGGGCGUAAAGAGCUCGUAGGCGGCUCAUUGCGUCAACCGUGAAAACCAGCAGCUCAACUGUUGGCUUGCGGUUGAUACGGGUGGGCUGGAGUUCGGUAGGGGAGACUGGAAUUCCUGGUGUAGCGGUGAAAUGCGCAGAUAUCAGGAGGAACACCGAUGGCGAAGGCAGGUCUAUGGGCAUUAACUGACGCUGGAGGAGCGAAAAGCAUGGGGAGCGAACAGG
rnacentral:rRNA from 1 species